rnacentral:rRNA from 1 species
GACUACGGCCAUACCACCCUGAAAGCGCCCGAUCUCGUCUGAUCUCGGAAGCUAAGCAGGAGAGGGCCUGGUUAGUACCUGGAUGGGAGACCGCCUGGGAAUACCAGGUGUUGUAGGCU